UACACUCCUACGGGAGGCAGCAGUGGGGAAUUUUGGACAAUGGGCGAAAGCCUGAUCCAGCCAUGCCGCGUGCAGGAUGAAGGCCUUCGGGUUGUAAACUGCUUUUGUACGGAACGAAACGGCCUUUUCUAAUAAAGAGGGCUAAUGACGGUACCGUAAGAAUAAGCACCGGCUAACUACGUGCCAGCAGCCGCGGUAAUACGUAGGGUGCAAGCGUUAAUCGGAAUUACUGGGCGUAAAGCGUGCGCAGGCGGUUAUGUAAGACAGUUGUGAAAUCCCCGGGCUCAACCUGGGAACUGCAUCUGUGACUGCAUAGCUAGAGUACGGUAGAGGGGGAUGGAAUUCCGCGUGUAGCAGUGAAAUGCGUAGAUAUGCGGAGGAACACCGAUGGCGAAGGCAAUCCCCUGGACCUGUACUGACGCUCAUGCACGAAAGCGUGGGGAGCAAACAGGAUUAGAUACCCCAGUAGUCCC
rnacentral:rRNA from 1 species